AUCCCAUGUUUGGCUGAACAAGGACUAUAAUAAAUGAGACUAUGUAGUCCCCAAAUCAACCCCAACACCUUCUUACAUAGUCUCCCCAAAUUUCACCGGACUGUGGAAGACUGGAAGCAACGCUCGGUCGUUCUUCGCUUUUGGUCGCUCACUUGCAUCUUUCACUUCGGUCUCCUUCAACUAAACCAGAAAAGAAUCAUGAGCUGCUUCGGUUGUUGUGAUGAAGAUGAUAUGCAUAAAGCUACUGACAAUGGAGGUCCUUACAUGAGCUGCUUUGGGAAAUGAGGGAUUCAUCAUGAUUCCGGUAAUGCGCCCAAACGUGAAGAAGCCGUAAAGGCCUAGCCUAUUGAAGUUUUGCUUAUACCAGUAGAGGAGCUAAAGGAAAUUACAGAAAACUUUGGGACAAGUGCCUUGAUUGGGGAAGGUUCUUCUGUUGUAGUCCUUAGUCCUACGGAGCACCAAACAUGGUUCAAGUAUUAGCUUAGCAUAAGCCAGGCUUGAGAAGUCCAGGACUCUCAUAGAAAUUAAGGUGAGGCAUGGUAGUCCCGUGAAACAAACA